rnacentral:rRNA from 1 species
GAUGAACGCUGGCGGCGUGCCUAAUACAUGCAAGUCGAGCGAACAGACGAGGAGCUUGCUCCUCUGACGUUAGCGGCGGACGGGUGAGUAACACGUAGAUAACCUACCUAUAAGACUGGGAUAACUUCGGGAAACCGGAGCUAAUACCGGAUAACAUGUUGAACCGCAUGGUUUAACAGUGAAAGACGGUCUUGCUGUCACUUAUAGAUGGAUCCGCGCCGCAUUAGCUAGUUGGUAAGGUAACGGCUUACCAAGGCAACGAUGCGUAGCCGACCUGAGAGGGGGAUCGGCCACACUGGAACUGAGACACGGUCCAGACUCCUACGGGAGGCAGCAGUAGGGAAUCUUCCGCAAUGGGCGAAAGCCUGACGGAGCAACGCCGCGUGAGUGAAGAAGGUCUUCGGAUCGUAAAACUCUGUUAUUAGGGAAGAACAAAUGUGUAAGUAACUAUGCACGUCUUGACGGUACCUAAUCAGAAAGCCACGGCUAACUACGUG